GGCUCCGGCCAUACCACCCUGAAUGCGCCUGAUCUUGUCUGGUCUGGGAAGCUGAGCAGAGUCAGGCUUGGUUAGUACUUGGAUAGAAAAAUUCUCCCAAGUCUGGCAGCCAGGACCU
rnacentral:rRNA from 1 species